UCGUAACAAGGUUUCCGUAGGUGAACCUGCGGAAGGAUCAUUACUGAUUUGCUUAAUUGCACCACAUGUGUUUUUCUUUGAAACAAACUUGCUUUGGCGGUGGGCCCAGCCUGCCGCCAGAGGUCUAAACUUACAACCAAUUUUUUAUCAACUUGUCACACCAGAUUAUUACUAAUAGUCAAAACUUUCAACAACGGAUCUCUUGGUUCUCGCAUCGAUGAAGAACGCAGCGAAAUGCGAUACGUAAUAUGAAUUGCAGAUAUUCGUGAAUCAUCGAAUCUUUGAACGCACAUUGCGCCCUCUGGUAUUCCGGAGGGCAUGCCUGUUUGAGCGUCGUUUCUCCCUCAAACCGCUGGGUUUGGUGUUGAGCAAUACGACUUGGGUUUGCUUGAAAGACGGUAGUGGUAAGGCGGGAUCGCUUUGACAAUGGCUUAGGUCUAACCAAAAACAUUGCUUGCGGCGGUAACGUCUACUACGUAUAUCUUCAAACUUUGACCUCAAAUCAGGUAGGACUACCCGCUGAACUUAAGCAUAUCA
rnacentral:misc_RNA from 1 species